AGUGAACGCUGGCGGUAGGCCUAACACAUGCAAGUCGAACGGCAGCACAGUAAGAGCUUGCUCUUACGGGUGGCGAGUGGCGGACGGGUGAGGAAUACAUCGGAAUCUACUUUUUCGUGGGGGAUAACGUAGGGAAACUUACGCUAAUACCGCAUACGACCUACGGGUGAAAGCAGGGGAUCUUCGGACCUUGCGCGAUUGAAUGAGCUGAUGUCGGAUUAGCUAGUUGGCGGGGUAAAGGCCCACCAAGGCGACGAUCCGUAGCUGGUCUGAGAGGAUGAUCAGCCACACUGGAACUGAGACACGGUCCAGACUCCUACGAGAGGCAGCAGUGGGGAAUAUUGGACAAUGGGCGCAAGCCUGAUCCAGCCAUACCGCGUGGGUGAAGAAGGCCUUCGGGUUAAAGCCCUUUUGUUGGGAAAGAAAAGCAGCAGGUUAAUACCCCGCUGUUCUGACGGUACCCAAAGAAUAAGCACCGGCUAACUUCGUG
rnacentral:rRNA from 1 species